rnacentral:rRNA from 1 species
CCUUAGAGUUUGAUCCUGGCUCAGGGUGAACGCUAGCUACAGGCUUAACACAUGCAAGUCGAGGGGCAGCAUUUUAGUUUGCUUGCAAACUGAAGAUGGCGACCGGCGCACGGGUGAGUAACACGUAUCCAACCUGCCGAUAACUCCGGGAUAGCCUUUCGAAAGAAAGAUUAAUACCGGAUAGCAUACGAAUAUCGCAUGAUAUUUUUAUUAAAGAAUUUCGGUUAUCGAUGGGGAUGCGUUCCAUUAGUUUGUUGGCGGGGUAACGGCCCACCAAGACUACGAUGGAUAGGGGUUCUGAGAGGAAGGUCCCCCACAUUGGAACUGAGACACGGUCCAAACUCCUACGGGAGGCAGCAGUGAGGAAUAUUGGUCAAUGGGCGCGAGCCUGAACCAGCCAAGUAGCGUGAAGGAUGAAGGCUCUAUGGGUCGUAAACUUCUUUUAUAUGGGAAUAAAGUUUUCCACGUGUGGAAUUUUGUAUGUACCAUAUGAAUAAGGAUCGGCUAACUCCGUGCCAGCAGCCGCGGUAAUACGGAGGAUCCGAGCGUUAUCCGGAUUUAUUGGGUUUAAAGGGAGCGUAGGUGGAUUGUUAAGUCAGUUGUGAAAGUUUGCGGCUCAACCGUAAAAUUGCAGUUGAAACUGGGAGUCUUGAGUACAGUAGAGGUGGGCGGAAUUCGUGGUGUAGCGGUGAAAUGCUUAGAUAUCACGAAGAACUCCGAUUGCGAAGGCAGCUCACUAGACUGUCACUGACACUGAUGCUCGAAAGUGUGGGUAUCAAACAGGAUUAGAUACCCUGGUAGUCCACACAGUAAACGAUGAAUACUCGCUGUUUGCGAUAUACAGUAAGCGGCCAAGCGAAAGCAUUAAGUAUUCCACCUGGGGAGUACGCCGGCAACGGUGAAACUCAAAGGAAUUGACGGGGGCCCGCACAAGCGGAGGAACAUGUGGUUUAAUUCGAUGAUACGCGAGGAACCUUACCCGGGCUUAAAUUGCAACAGAAUAUAUUGGAAACAGUAUAGCCGUAAGGCUGUUGUGAAGGUGCUGCUUGGUUGUCGUCAGCUCGUGCCGUGAGGUGUCGGCUUAAGUGCCAUAACGAGCGCAACCCUUAUCUUUAGUUACUAACAGGUCAUGCUGAGGACUCUAGAGAGACUGCCGUCGUAAGAUGUGAGGAAGGUGGGGAUGACGUCAAAUCAGCACGGCCCUUACGUCCGGGGCUACACACGUGUUACAAUGGGGGGUACAGAAGGCGGCUACCUGGUGACAGGAUGCUAAUCCCAAAAACCUCUCUCAGUUCGGAUCGAAGUCUGCAACCCGACUUCGUGAAGCUGGAUUCGCUAGUAAUCGCGCAUCAGCCAUGGCGCGGUGAAUACGUUCCCGGGCCUUGUACUCACCGCCCGUCAAG